rnacentral:rRNA from 1 species
AGCGUAGACGGACUGGCAAGUCUGAUGUGAAAGGCGGGGGCUCAACCCCUGGACUGCAUUGGAAACUGUUAGUCUUGAGUGCCGGAGAGGUAAGCGGAAUUCCUAGUGUAGCGGUGAAAUGCGCAGAUAUUAGGAGGAACACCAGUGGCGAAGGCGGCUUACUGGACGGUAACUGACGUUGAGGCUCGAAAGCGUGGGGAGCAAACA